GGGAAGGAGCUUGCGUCACAUUAGUUAGUUGGUGGGGUAAAGGCCUAACAAGACUAUGAUGUGUAGCCGGGCUGAGAGGUUGAACGGCCACAUUGGGACUGAGACACGGCCCAAACUCCUACGGGAGGCAGCAGUAGGGAAUUUUCGGCAAUGGAGGAAACUCUGACCGAGCAACGCCGCGUGAACGAUGAAGUAUUUCGGUACGUAAAGUUCUUUUAUUAGGGAAGAAUAAAUGAUGGAAAAAUCAUUCUGACGGUACCUAAUGAAUAAGCCCCGGCUAACUAUGUGCCAGCAGCCGCGGUAAUACAUAGGGGGCAAGCGUUAUCCGGAAUUAUUGGGCGUAAAGGGUGCGUAGGCGGUUAAAUAAGUUUAUGGUCUAAGUGCAAUGCUCAACAUUGUGAUGCUAUAAAAACUGUUUAGCUAGAGUAAGAUAGAGGCAAGUGGAAUUCCAUGUGUAGUGGUAAAAUGCGUAAAUAUAUGGAGGAACUCCAGUAGCGAAGGCGGCUUGCUGGGUCUUUACUGACGCUGAGGCACGAAAGCGUGGGGAGCAAACAGGAUUAGAUACCCUGGUAGUCCACGCCGUAAACGAUGAGUACUAAACGUUGGGUAAAACCAGUGUUGAAGUUAACACAUUAAGUACUCCGCCUGAGUAGUACGUACGCAAGUAUGAAACUUAAAGGAAUUGACGGGACUCCGCACAAGCGGUGGAUCAUGUUGUUUAAUUCGAAGGUACCCGAAAAACCUCACCAGGUCUUGACAUGCUUCUGCAAAGCUGUAGAAACACAGUGGAGGUUAUCAGUUGCACAGGUGGUGCAUGGUUGUCGUCAGCUCGUGUCGAGAGAUGUUGGGUUAAGUCCCGCAACGAGCGCAACCCUUAUUGUUAGUUACCAGCACGUAAUGGUGGGGACUUUAGCAAGACUGCCAGUGAUAAAUUGGAGGAAGGUGGGGACGACGUCAAAUCAUCAUGCCCCUUAUGACCUGGGCUACAAACGUGAUACAAUGGCUGUUACAAAGGGUAGCUGAAGCGCAAGUUUUUGGCGAAUCU
rnacentral:rRNA from 1 species